UUUUCAGGUGGAGUGGCAUUGCUGACAGGCCAGGGCCCAGGUUCGAAUCAACCCAAGAUGAUGAACCCUGAAGAUGGGACAAAGUGCAUGACAAAGUGGCCCAGAGGAAGCCAGCUGUUCUCAACCCCUACAAUGCCCCAUUCUUCCAAGAGCUCACUGAGUUUCACUAAAGAUAACAAAAUCGGAACUGAGGAGGAUUGUUACGGAGCCCCAUGAGGAACACCUGAUGCUGCGCUGACUUCUCUCUCUCCUGGAUGCUCUCCUGCCCAACUGUUCCGUUGUGUUUUACCACCUCUGAACCCCCUUACCCAAUUAUUUAACCCUAAACAUUGAUCUAGGAUUGUACACAAUAUCAAUUUUAACUCCAUCUCCCCUUCUCUCUUUGUCACUCUCUCCCCCACACACCCCACACACAGGCACACAAUAUCGUUUUUAAAUUUGGGUCGUAAUGACGCUCUUAUGACGCUCUUAUUUCGUUACAUAUGUGUUAACUGUUACUUCUAUUGUCAAUUAUGUUGUUAA